CAGUAACGUUGCCAUGGCUGCGAAGGUGGCGAAGUCAAAGAACAACCAUGUGAAUCACUGUAAAGAAUCUUUAUGUUUCUGGUUAAAAACGCCAUUUAUCCUCAAAACCCAGAAACCCUUCAUAAAUUUGCCAUUUUCUCUUCGUUUUUUUGGGUCGUAGGAGAAAUUGGCUGUCUUUCUCUACACCCAAUUCCUCUCUCAACCAUUAUGCUUUCUUUUCUUCCUCUCCAUUGUCCGCCUCCGAAAACUCUUUUUCCGCCGCGGUCAUCAUUAUCUCAACCUCUGCUUGUCACGUCCACUCCUGCACAUCUCUCUCUCUGCAUCCGAUCCCUCUCCGCUACUGCCACCAGGCCCGCCACCACUUCCACACCAGGGGCAGACCCAGUAUACUACACCCAAAUGCCACCCUCCAAUUCUAACCUCCUCAAAAUCGCCAUGAUUGGGUUCGGCAACUACGGCCAAUUCCUGGCCAAGACCCUGGUCUUCCAAGGUCAUACUGUCUUCGCUCACUCUAGAACCGACCACUCCCUCGAAGCCCGUUCCCUGGGCGUGACCUUCUUCCUCGACCCGCACGACCUCUGCGAGCAACACCCUGAUGUGAUUUUAUUAUGUACGUCGAUAAUUUCAACGGAGAAUGUCCUCAAAUCUUUGCCAUUACAUAGGUUCAAGCGAAACACAUUAUUUGUCGAUGUCUUGUCAGUUAAAGAAUUUGCCAAAAAUCUAUUGCUCGAUGUCUUGCCUAGUGAUUUCGACAUCAUUUGCACCCAUCCCAUGUUUGGUCCUGAAAGUGCCAAUCAUGGGUGGGAUGGUCUCCACUUCGUCUAUGAGAAUGUUAGAAUUGGCAACGAUCAAUCAAGAGUUGAUAGGUGUAAAAGCUUUCUUGAUAUUUUUGCUAGACAAGGUUGUAGAAUGGUGGAAAUGAGUUGUCAAGACCAUGAUAAGUACGCUGCAGGAUCACAGUUCAUCACGCAUACCGUAGGGAGGGUAUUGGAGAUGUUGAAAUUGGAGUCUACGCCCAUUAAUACGAAAGGGUAUGAAAGUUUAUUGGAUUUGGUCGAUAAUACCGCAGGGGAUAGUUUUGAUUUGUACUAUGGGUUAUUUAUGUACAAUAAGAAUGCGCUUGAGAUGUUGGAGAGAUUGGAUUUGGCUUUUGAGGCUUUAAGGAAGCAGCUUUUUGGAAGGUUGCAUGACGUUGUGAGGAAGCAGUUGUUUGGGAAUGGAGAGAGGAGGCAAAUUCUGCAAGGGAAUUAUUCAGAUGGGCAUCAGAAUGGUGCUGCAUUGGCAUCUGCUUCAAAAGCUGAAAGAUCUCAAGGUGCUGCUCAGCCAUACGAAUACCAGGGUCAGAUCUCCAACUACAUUGAUGACCAUUCGAAGCUCAAGAUUGCUAUAGUUGGUUUUGGAAAUUUUGGACAGUUCCUUGCUAAAACCUUAAUUCGGCAGGGCCACACAGUUUUAGCCUAUUCUCGUUCUGACUACUUCGAUGUGGCUCGGAAAUUGGGGGUUUCAUACUUCUCUGAUGCAGAUGAUCUCUGCGAAGAGCAUCCAGAAGUAAUUCUUCUUUGUACUUCUAUUCUUUCAACAGAAAAUGUCCUCAAGUCAUUGCCAGUUCAGAGAUUGAAGAGAAGUACUCUCUUUGUUGACGUACUCUCAGUUAAAGAGUUUCCUAGGAAUUUGUUUCUCCAACAUUUGCCACCAGAUUUUGAUAUUCUUUGUACUCAUCCCAUGUUUGGCCCAGAGAGCGGUAAAAAUGGGUGGAAUGGCCUUCCCUUUCUUUUUGAUAAGGUCAGGGUAGGAAGCAGUGAGACAAGAGUAUCACGGUGUGACCGGUUUCUUGAUAUUUUUGCUUGUGAAGGGUGCAGAAUGGUGGAGAUGUCCUGUGCAGAGCAUGAUCGGCAUGCAGCUGGGUCACAGUUUAUUACACACACCAUGGGAAGGGUUCUGGAAAAGUUUGGUUUGGAGUCAACACCGAUUAAUACUAAAGGUUAUGAAACUUUGUUAAAUUUGGUGGAAAAUACUGCAGGGGAUAGCUUUGAUCUGUACUAUGGUCUGUUCAUGUACAAUGUAAAUGCAAUGGAGCAGUUAGAGAGGUUGGAUUUGGCUUUUGAAUCUUUGAAGAAGCAGCUAUUUGGGCGUAUGCAUGGUGUUCUUCGGAAGCAAUUGUUUGAAAAUGCGGAGAAGUCUCAAGUCUUGAGGGAGGAAACUUCAGUGUUGAAAGUACCUCAAAAUGGUGAUGCACUGACAUUUUAUUUGGAGACUCUUAAUGCUCGAAACAAUUAAGUUUCAUCUUUUUACAGUAUUGAAACUUGGUGAAUCCAGCUAAACAUGAUCUAACAGUGAGAAAAAGCUAUUAUCAUCAGUGCUCAAACAUCAUAUAUGACGCUUUAGCCAAGAAACAUUCUCCAACUUGUUGAGGGAUGCAAUUAGCGUUAACGAGACAUGUUUUUGGAUUUGGUCAUGAUGUUUGUUGAAAAAGAGGAAUGAUGAGACGAAAAGCUGAAUGCUCUUGAAAGACAUGAGGAAGUUCAAGCAAGUAUAUGUUAAUGUGACGAAUAUUUCAUUCUAGCCAUUGGUUUGCAUAAAGUUCAGUUCAUACACCAGUUUUUGUUCAAUUUCCCACAUGUUGUUCAAGGGUCUCUCUCUCAAUUUUUAUUGUUUGUAGGACAGCCUUGUUGCAUCAUUUUAUUUAAGUAGCUUGUCUGGAACUCCAUUUUUUUUAUGAGAGGAGCUCCAUUUUUGAGUGUUGUAAUUUGCGAGUCCCUCAAAAGGGAAAUGUCGUGUGGCCUUGUUGAUUUCACUUUGAAUCCUUUGAUAGAAUAAUGAGCCCAUUCUUGAUCCUUGUAUCGAAGUAAAGAUUUU
rnacentral:misc_RNA from 1 species